rfam:Caloramator mitchellensis strain VF08 ABG79_contig000001, whole genome shotgun sequence.
AUGAUGCAAGUAGGAGAGACCCAGAAGGGCGCCGAAGGGGUAAGUUUGGUUUGCCGAACCUUAUGAUACUCUCAGGCAAAAGAACUACUUGUUGACA